AGUGAACGCUGGCGGUAGGCCUAACACAUGCAAGUCGAACGGCAGCACAGUAAGAGCUUGCUCUUACGGGUGGCGAGUGGCGGAUGGGUGAGGAAUACAUCGGAAUCUACUUUUUCGUGGGGGAUAACGUAGGGAAACUUACGCUAAUACCGCAUACGACCUACGGGUGAAAGCAGCGGAUCUUCGGACCUUGCGCGAUUGAAUGAGCCGAUGUCGGAUUAGCUAGUUGGCGGGGUAAAGGCCCACCAAGGCGACGAUCCGUAGCUGGUCUGAGAGGAUGAUCAGCCACACUGGAACUGAGACACGGUCCAGACUCCUACGGGAGGCAGCAGUGGGGAAUAUUGGACAAUGGGCGCAAGCCUGAUCCAGCCAUACCGCGUGGGUGAAGAAGGCCUUCGGGUUGUAAAGCCCUUUUGUUGGGAAAGAAAAGCAGCAGGUUAAUACCCCGCUGUUCUGACGGUACCCAAAGAAUAAGCACCGGCUAACUUCGUG
rnacentral:rRNA from 1 species